UACGUAGGGGGCAAGCGUUGUCCGGAAUCAUUGGGCGUAAAGAGCGUGUAGGCGGCCCGGUAAGUCCGCUGUGAAAGUCCAGGGCUCAACCCUGGGAUGCCGGUCGAUACUGCCGGACUAGAGUUCGGAAGAGGCGAGUGGAAUUCCCGGUGUAGCGGUGAAAUGCGCAGAUAUCGGGAGGAACACCAAUGGCGAAGGCAGCUCGCUGGGACGUUACUGACGCUGAGACGCGAAAGCGUGGGGAGCAAACAGG
rnacentral:rRNA from 1 species